UACAAUUGUAGAGGUGCAAAUACGAUAAGUACUUUUUCUGAGUGGAAAACGAUGAGGAAAAAUGAAAGGUGUAUUUGCCGAAAUCAAUCAGGCGUCAUCUUGGUUGGUUGGGGUCGUUGCCGAAAGGGACGACACUGUCGCAGUUUUGAUAUUCUUUGUAUCACUGCGGAGUGCUACUGUAAGU
rfam:Haemophilus parahaemolyticus HK385 contig00007, whole genome shotgun sequence.